UAAUACGAAGGUGGCAAGCGUUGUUCGGAUUUACUGGGCGUACAGGGAGCGUAGGCGGUUCGGUAAGCCCUCUGUGAAAUCUCCAGGCUUAACCUGGAACAGUCGGAGGGGACUGCUGGGCUAGAGGACGGGAGAGGAGCGCGGAAUUCCCGGUGUAGCGGUGAAAUGCGUAGAGAUCGGGAGGAAGGCCGGUGGCGAAGGCGGCGCUCUGGAACGUUUCUGACGCUGAGGCUCGAAAGCGUGGGGAGCAAACAGGAUUAGAUACCCUGGUAGUCCACGCCUUAAACUAUGAAUACUAAGUGUCGGCGGGUUACCGCCGGUGCCGCAGCUAACGCAUUAAGUAUUCCGCCUGGGAAGUACGGCCGCAAGGUUG
rnacentral:rRNA from 1 species